rnacentral:rRNA from 1 species
AUACGUAGGGUGCAAGCGUUAAUCGGAAUUACUGGGCGUAAAGCGUGCGCAGGCGGUUUUGUAAGACAGAGGUGAAAUCCCCGGGCUCCACCUGGGAACUGCCUUUGUGACUGCAAGGCUAGAGUACGGCAGAGGGGGAUGGAAUUCCGCGUGUAGCAGUGAAAUGCGUAGAUAUGCGGAGGAACACCGAUGGCGAAGGCAAUCCCCUGGGCCUGUACUGACGCUCAUGCACGAAAGCGUGGGGAGCAAACAGGAUUAGAUACCCUGGUAGUCCACGCCCUAAACGAUGUCAACUGGUUGUUGGGUCUUCAUUGACUCAGUAACGAAGCUAACGCGUGAAGUUGACCGCCUGGGGAGUACGGCCGCAAGGUUAAAACUCAAAUGAAUUGGCGGGG